UACGUAGGGGGCAAGCGUUGUCCGGAAUCAUUGGGCGUAAAGCGCGUGUAGGCGGCUUGGUAAGUCCGCUCUGAAAGCCCGGGGCUCAACCCCGGGAGGCGGGUGGAUACUGCUGAGCUCGAGUCCGGAAGAGGAGUGUGGAAUUCCUGGUGUAGCGGUGAAAUGCGCAGAUAUCAGGAGGAACACCAAUGGCGAAGGCAGCACUCUGGGACGGUACUGACGCUGAGACGCGAAAGCGUGGGGAGCAAACAGG
rnacentral:rRNA from 1 species